rnacentral:rRNA from 1 species
CACGUAGGGGGCGAGCGUUGUCCGGAUUUAUUGGGCGUAAAGAGCUCGUAGGCGGCUAAGUAAGUCGGGUGUGAAAACUCCAGGCUCAACCUGGAGACGCCACCUGAUACUGCUUUGGCUAGAGUCCGGUAGGGGAGCAUGGAAUUCCUGGUGUAGCGGUGAAAUGCGCAGAUAUCAGGAGGAACACCAGUGGCGAAGGCGGCCCCCUGGGCCGGCCCUGACACUGAGACGCGAAGGCGCGGGGAGCGAACGGG